rnacentral:misc_RNA from 1 species
CGUGCACGCAGCACUGUUUAUAUCCGCCAUAAGAGAAAUCUGGUUUUUACAUGUCAAAAAAUUUCUAAAAGAAUGAUUAGUACAACCGCAGAGGAUGUGCAAACGAAAGAAAAUAGCAACUUAGAAUUUGCUACUCCAGAAAAGCAAGAAGCACGUGCAUUUUUGCGUGAACGAUUUCUGCGUGUAAUUACCGGCAUUGUUGGCAAGAAAGCAGAAUUUUAUUUAUAUGAAAAUACUCGAGUUUCUGCUGAAUUUAGAGGCUGUGACAUAGAUUGUUUAGAGAUAUAUGUACGUAACCUGGAAACACCGUUAGGAAAAGUUCCAGAAGCUAUUCUGAGAGCAAAUGACAUUAUUCAUAUGGAGGUGAAUGAUAUCAAUACAUCGUAAUAAAGUCUAGUAACAUGGAUUGUUGUACAUUGGGAAACCCAGAUGGGAAAGGAUGUUGUUGUCCAGCCAUUUUAUCUUAAUUUUGCCACAGCUUCACAUUCGUAAGAGCAAAAAAACACAGGAAUCAGUCGACGAAGUCAGACAAUUUUGAGAAUGAAGCACUUCCCUUCGAGGAUCAUCGAUCACAAGAAGCACGAACUUGACAGAAGAUGAUUUUCACGUAAACACUUGCACCAUUCGAAAAAUACAGAGGAGCACCAUGGAGCAUAUGGAUCGUUUACGCGGGAGUUUCAAAAAUUUU